rnacentral:rRNA from 1 species
UACAUGGGGUGCAAACGUUGCUCGGAAUUAUUGGGCGUAAAGCGCACGUAGGCGGUUUGUUAAGUCGGAUGUGAAAUCCCUCGGCUCAACUGAGGAAGUGCAUCCGAAACUGGCAAGCUUGAGUACGAAAGAGGGUCGCGGAAUUCCCGGUGUAGAGGUGAAAUUCGUAGAUAUCGGGAGGAACACCAGUGGCGAAGGCGGCCACCUGGCUCGGUACUGACGCUCAGGUUCGAAAGCGUGGGGAGCAAACAGG